CCUGAGGGUGAAGGAAGCCCUUCCAGCCACUUGCCGGGAGCCCUGAAGACGCGGUGGCUGGGCUGGGGGGGAGCGGGACGGGAGUGCCCUGGACUCCGCGGAUUCCUUUGGGACUGGGGGGCUGCGCACGUGUUUUACUCCAACUGUUUGCAACUUUUGAAACCCGGGCAAUAUGGCUUUGGCAUUUGAAAAACAUUUCAAACAGGAGAGAGUCUAAGAAAUGAGGCGGGUACGUUGAAACGAUGGAGAAAGGAUGGAAUGUCACAGUGGUCGAGAUUAAGAGCUGGAGUGCAGUAGCUCGACUAGCUGAUUGUAACCU